rnacentral:lncRNA from 1 species
GGAUUCUGAGUGGAAAAAGAGGGUCUAGGGUCAGGCCUGACACAUGGGCCUUCUGUGUACCUACAUAGGCUGGGGCACACCACAGGCACAGAUACAGAGGCACCACAGAGGACCCAUGUAAAGCCCACUGUGUUGCCAAGACUAGACCUUGCCUGAUGCGGCCCAUGGCCCCGCGUGCUACAGACACAGCACAGUGACCCACCAUGGCCCACUAGUCUCUCAUAAGGGUGUCCACCCUCUCCUGGCUCAGAUGGCCCAGGGCUACAGGACCCUUGUGAGAAAGGACCACAGGAUGCCCUGGAGCCCAUGACCCCACAGCAGCGAGAAGACCUGACAGCCAGUGCACAGGUGCGUGGGUCCCCCCUCACAUGCUGGGAGUAAGGAACUCCCACAGGCGACAAUGACUGGCCUGGGUCACAUGAGACCACAGCACUUGCUUGUCAUAGCCACACAGAGCCCUGGCUCCAUCUAGCAGUACAGGUGGAGGCAGAAGGCUAUCUUUGACUAUUGAGAGUGUUUGAGGCUAGCCUUGGCUACAUGAACACCAGUCUCAAAAGAAGUGCACAGCCACACAGACCCAAGUACCAAACAUUGCCACUUUCAUGGGGGUUGAGUAUCUUACAAGGAAUUUGGGGUCCCUCUACCCAGGAAGUAAAAGUGGGGUCCCAAGAUCUCCAAUCCAGCCCAUGCCACCGGCUAGUGGUGACAUUCCCCAGGGCCACAUGCCUGGCACCAGAAACUGUAACAACAGAACAAACAGCCCAGCCCACUGGUCCCUGGGGACGCAGGUCUGAUCCCUGAAGUCCAGCUAGGGUAGCACUCCCUGACGGUACCUGUUGUCUGCAGCAUGCCCUGCGUCUUGUGGCCUUCCGGCAGAUACACAAGGUCCUGCACAUGGAACACUUACCUCCACGGACCAGAUUCGGGGCCCGGAAGAGGAUGAGGGAGGCUAGUCAGACCCAGGAGGGGGCCAGGGAGAGGAAGAGGGGCCGGCAGGGCACAGCAGGGCUGCCUUGAACCAGCUAUCACCAACCUACACAUCCCAUACCUGAACAGGUGUGGUCCCUCCAGCUGCUGGCUCCUGAAGUGGGACGCCUUUGUCAUUGUGUCUGUAGAUUUAUUCAUGAUGCUGUGGGGGUCCCCCUGAGGUGACCCCAUGCCCAUGGCUGUCACCUACCCACCCCCAAGCCAGAUAGCAGUGACCUCCUUGGUACUAGUUGCUAUGUGAAGCUCCCUUGAUGUCCUAAGAAGUCAAUGGGAUCUGGAUCGCUUCCUUGAGAUGCCAGGAAGGGUGGCCUGGAAUAUUCUGUGGGUCACAGAAUGAGUGUAGAGGAGCAGAGGGUGCAGAAUGGGAUUCCCCACCACAUCCUUCACACAGACCCCCUUACUGCACACCAGCUGUGAGGACACUGUCACCCCCACAGUGCAACCCUAGUCCCAGUCACUGAGUGCCUUCCGUAGAUGACCCACUCCACCCCGUGUCACCCUGUGGACCACUGGGCGUGGACACAGGCGAGGACAAAGCACUAUCCUUUAGGCCUCCUUUGCCUCCUCUGGACCCCCUGGUGUAAUCCCUAGGCUUCAACCCUGUUCCAUUCUGCCUGUGGCUUUCUAAGGCCAGCCAGCCCACAAAAGCCUGGGUGGGGAAUAAAGUAGAUCUGCCCAUGUG